GCAAGUCGAGCGCGCCCUUCGGGGUGAGCGGCGGACGGGUGAGUAACGCGUGGGAAUAUGCCCUUCUCUAAGGAAUAGCCUCGGGAAACUGAGAGUAAUACCGUAUAAGCCCUUCGGGGGAAAGAUUUAUCGGAAUUGGAUUAGCCCGCGUUAGAUUAGAUAGUUGGUGGGGUAAUGGCCUACCAAGUCUACGAUCUUUAGCUGGUUUGAGAGGAUGAUC
rnacentral:rRNA from 1 species